rnacentral:misc_RNA from 1 species
GAUGAAGAACGUAGCGAAAUGCGAUAAGUAAUGCGAAUUGCAGAAUUCCAGUGAGUCAUCGAAUCUUUGAACGCACAUUGCGCCCUUUGGUAUUCCGAAGGGCAUGCCUGUUCGAGCGUCAUUAUCACCCCUCAAGCCCUCGGCUUGGUGUUGGACGGUUUGGUGGAGGCCCCCUCGGGGGCUCCUGCCCCUCCCAAAGACAAUGACGGCGGCCUCGUUGGACCCCGGUACACUGAGUUCUUCACGGGACACGUAUCGGACACAUGGGUUUACGGGACACGGUCUGCCUCCCCUCAGGGAGAAUCUUUCUAAGGUUGACCUCGGAUCAGGUAGGGAUACCCGCUGAACUUAAGCAUAUCAAUAAGCGGAGGA